UACCGAGCACCAGCAGCGAGGUGUGAAUGGGGGUGAUGAUGUGGACUACCCCCCGCUCAGCCCCCCCUCCCACUAUCCCCUCUGGCUGGGCCCCCCACCUCCCUACGAGGUCGCCAUCAAGAACACCUGUAGCUCCACCCACUUGCGCCGUGCCUACUCAGACGGACACCUGGCCUCGGAACCCCUGUUUGGCCAAUCACGGGAGAUCAGCUUCGAAGUGUGACAUCACUUCACACACUGCCUCCACCAACCACACCGCAAGAGGACCACUGUGGCCACACCCUUCACUUAGGCUCCUCUAAUCAGCUGUCAACCCUGAAAAACAAUAAGAUCCCCGCACGCCACAUGGAAAGCAAAAAGGAAGUGCAACUAGCUGAGGAAAAAUGGAGUAAAAAGAACACGGAGAGGUUUAGAAAGUAAAUAAUCAUCUCCUUAUCCUUUAUCCCUGGCUCGGCACUGGAGAAGCCUCUUCAGAAGAUUGUGAAUGAUGGUGUGAUGGUGUUGGAGGAGGAGUGUGGAGGUGUGUGUGAGCCAAGCCAGGGGGAAGCACCAUGCAGGCAGGAGGAGAGAAAGCGGCCAUCUCCCCAGGGUGUCCUGCUAUCUCUAGGCCCGGUGAUGAUGGUAGUAGGGGGUUUCCUGACUUUCCUGACUCUGCAAGGUCCAGGGCUGUGGAUGGGGGUGCUGAUGGCUGUUACCGGGGCAACACUGACCAUCGCUGGGCUCUGUAUUUUAAUGACAACGCUACAGGUGUCGGAUGUACCUGGACACUUCCUGUUACACCCCCGCACAGGAACGCGCUAUAGCCCACACCAGGCCCUAGCCAUCCAGAGAAGGUUGGACCGGAUACGCAGAGAGAUGUCUGAGGACUCUGUGCGAGUGCCCCCCUCUCCACCCCUCCCCUUGCCCCCCACCCCUCCUCCCUGGGACCUGGAGGCACCCCCCUCCUACGACUCUGUCAUGAAGAGCCGGGGUCCCUCUGACCUCUGAGGGCUGAGGAGACUACUAUACUCUACUGUUCUGUAACUUUGGACUAUUCCCUUUGUGCCAUUACAGUGAAGUAAAUCAAGCACACCCGUGCUGGGAGAGACGUUGUUCUGGAAUGGAGGGGCUGUAAGGGGUUGGGCGCCUCAGCGUUGUUUACAUGUUAACAUGACAGGUUUACAUAUUUGUUUGAAGAAUGAGGAGUGUGUUUAUAAUGCUACUAUUAAGACUACUACAGUGUGGUACACUGCACUCCUAUAAAGACAUAUAUAACAAAUAUAUUUUUUUUUCUUACUUUCCACCACCUGAAGUUGUUUAUGUCACUUUUCAAGUCCGCUCGAUGCCCAUAUAUUUGUAGUGGCACACUGAGCUACACCAGGCAGCGAGGCCAGCUGGCAGCAUCUACCCAGCACUAAGCAUUCUCUAUGCAGCAGCACUCAGCCUUUAUUACCAGUCCAAAUGGAUAACCCAGCCUUUAAAACCACUGUCUGACUUUUUUGCUGCUUUGGACUCCAUUAGCUGUUUGUGCUGUGACUGCUUGGGGAGGUUGUGUCAUUCUCCAGUGUGUGAGUGCGGGUGUGUUUCUGUGGUCAUGUAUGCACCACGGAUUCUUUCUAUUCACACAGCUGACAUCAGGAUAGACGGAAGAUCUCAACCAGAAGUGCCUUGUUGUUACAGCACUAGACGCUUGUUGUCACAGCACACGGUUAUCCACAGCAUUAUUCUCUCUCUCUCUGCCCCAUUGCUGCAGGGUUCCAUUCUAUCCACUGUUGCACUUCCUGUUUGACUGUGAUGUCAUGAUCAACUUUAGUAAAUGAAUAGCCAAAGAUCUCUGAGUGGUUCUUGUCUCAGUUGGACUAAGUACAGUGUGUUAUUACUCAGUUUCUUUGUUCUGUUCUAACCUCACUUACACUUGAAGUAAAUGCUUUCUCAAGGAGAGAGGAAAAUAGGACAGAGAGUUGGGGAGCUGAGCUGUGGGCAAGGUGACACACUAGCCAACAUACACACACACACACACACACACACACACACACACACACACACACACACACACACACACACAACCCCUGCUCUACAGUCGUCUGCAGGCUGUGAGAACCAGCAGAGUGGAACUGUCUGCCCUCUCUCCCCCUCUUCCUUUUC
rnacentral:lncRNA from 1 species